rnacentral:lncRNA from 1 species
AUCUUAACGCAAAACAACGUUGCAAGUAAAAUCUGCUGAAUGUAACCCUGAAUUAUUUGUGACAGAAAAGACCUUUUUUUGUGAAAAUAGCCAUGGAUGUAAGCCAACUAUGUAAGAUAACUUGGCCACUGAGGUCUUUGUUGUAAAAAUAAUAUACAUUAUCAAUGAACAUUAUUGAAAUAACAAUUUUAAAAUCAACCUUGGUUCAAAAAAAUAAUAAAAUAGUUCCAAUAGUUGUUGCUAAUUGCAUGUAUUUGAGCUGUGUCAUAUUUUUCCUAUGUUCAAGGUCACUGCUGAUCAAUAUUUAUUAUGAAUUAUAU